rnacentral:rRNA from 1 species
GCCAGCAGCCAUAUCGCUCUGCAACUCACAACUGGCAACCCACUGAAGUUAUGCGGGUGUGAGCCUGGUCAGUACCUGGAUGGGAGCCCUCCUGGGAAAAACUAAGGUUGUUGCUGGAA